GAAUCCCACAGGCCGUAAACCCAAGGUUUCCAGGGGAAGGUUCGUCCGCCCUGGGUUAGUCGGGACCUAAGCUGAGGCCGAAAGGCGUAGGUGAUGGACAACAGGUUGAUAUUCCUGUACUACCGAUAACCGUUUGAGAGAAGGGAUGACACAGUAGGAUAAGCUAAGCACACUGUUGGUUAUGUGUGCCCAAGCAUUGAGGCAGUCAAAGUAGGCAAAUCCGCUUUGAUAAUGCUGGGAUGUGAUGGGGAGCGAAAUUUAGUAGCGAAGUAGCUGAUUUCACACUGUCAAGAAAAGUCUCUAUCGAGGUUAAAGGUACCCGUACCGCAAACCGACACAGGUGGGUGAGGAGAGUAUCCUAAGGCCAGCGAGAGAACUGUUGUUAAGGAACUCGGCAAAAUGACCCCGUAACUUAGGGAUAAGGGGUGCCACCAUCAGGUGGCCGCAGAGAAUAGGCCCAAGCGACUGUUUACCAAAAACAUAGGUUUCUGCUAAGUCGCAAGACGAUGUAUAGGAGCUGACGCCUGCCCGGUGCUGGAAGGUUAAGGGGAUCUGUUAGAGCAAUCGAAGCAGUGAACUUAAGCCCCAGUAAACGGCGGCCGUAACUAUAACGGUCCUAAGGUAGCGAAAUUCCUUGUCGGGUAAGUUCCGACCCGCACGAAAGGCGUAACGAUUUGGGCACUGUCUCAACAACAGACUCGGUGAAAUUGUAAUUCCGGUGAAGAUGCCGGAUACCUGCGACAGGACGGAAAGACCCCAUGGAGCUUUACUGUAGCUUGACAUUGGGUCUUGGUACUACAUGUACAGGAUAGGUGGGAGGCUUUGAAACCAGGACGCCAGUUUUGGCGGAGCCAUCCUUGGGAUACCACCCUUGUAGUACUGGGACUCUAACCAUAGGCCAUGAAUCUGGUCUUGGGACACUGUCAGGUGGGCAGUUUGACUGGGGCGGUCGCCUCCCAAAAGGUAACGGAGGCGCUCAAAGGUUCUCUCAGUACGGUCGGAAAUCGUACGUAGAGUGUAAAGGCAAAAGAGAGCUUGAUUGCAAGACAUACAGGUCGAGCAAGGAUGAAAAUCGGACUUAGUGAUCCGGUGGUUCUGCGUGGAAGGGCCAUCGCUCAACGGAUAAAAGCUACCCUGGGGAUAACAGGCUUAUCUCCCCCAAGAGUCCACAUCGACGGGGAGGUUUGGCACCUCGAUGUCGGCUCAUCACAUCCUGGGGCUGUAGUAGGUCCCAAGGGUUGGGCUGUUCGCCCAUUAAAGUGGUACGCGAGCUGGGUUCAGAACGUCGUGAGACAGUUCGGUCCCUAUCCGUCGCAGGCGUAGGAAAUUUGAGAAGACCUGUCCUUAGUACGAGAGGACCGGGAUGGACGUACCUCUGGUGUACCAGUUGU
rnacentral:rRNA from 1 species